rnacentral:rRNA from 1 species
UACGUAGGGUGCGAGCGUUAAUCGGAAUUACUGGGCGUAAAGCGUGCGCAGGCGGUUCGUUGUGUCGGCGGUGAAAGCCCCGGGCUCAACCUGGGAAUGGCCGUUGAAACUGGCGAACUGGAGUGUGGCAGAGGGGGGGUGGAAUUCCGCGUGUAGCAGUGAAAUGCGUAGAGAUGUGGAGGAACACCGAUGGCGAAAGCAGCCCCCUGGGCCAACACUGACGCUCAGGCACGAAAGCGUGGGGAGCAAACAGG